rnacentral:tRNA from 1 species
UCCGGGUGCGGCGCAGGGGCCGGGCUGCGUUCCGGGCGCCGCCCGGCCCCGGUGCGGGCUCAGGCCUCCCGCUCGCGGGGC